CCUACGGGGGGCAGCAGUGGGGAAUAUUGCACAAUGGGGGAAACCCUGAUGCAGCAACGCCGCGUGGGUGAAGGAGCGCUUCGGCGCGUAAAGCACUGUCAGCGGGGAAGAAGAAAGACGGUACCCGACCAAGAAGCCCCGGCUAACUACGCGCCAGCAGCAGCGGCAAUACGGAGGGCGCGAGCGUUAUUCGGAAUUACGGGGUGGAAAGGGAGCGUAGUCGGGGGGGUAAGCCUGAAGUGGAAGCCCGGGGCACAACCGGGGAACGGCUUUGGGGACUGAUUAGCUGGAGUAUGGGAGGGGUGAGCAGAAUUCCAGGUGUAGCGGUGAAAGGCGUAGAGAUCAGGAGGAACACCGGUGGCGAAGGCGGCUCACUGGACCAUAACUGACGUUGAGGUGCGAAAGCGUGGGGAGCGAACAGGAUUAGAUACCCGGGUAGUC
rnacentral:rRNA from 1 species